rnacentral:rRNA from 1 species
GCAGUCUGCAACUCGACUGCAUGAAGCUGGAAUCGCUAGUAAUCGCGAAUCAGAAUGUCGCGGUGAAUACGUUCCCGGGCCUUGUACACACCGCCCGUCACACCAUGGGAGUUGGAAGCACCCGAAGUCGGUGACCUGACCGCAAGGGAGGAGCCGCCGAAGGUGAAGCCAGCGACUGGGGUGAAGUCGUAACAAGGUAGC